AACGCAAAUUCACAGCCACUCACAACGUAACAGCAUCCCGUUGAGGUUGAACCCAUUGUGGCGUUCUUGACCCAUGACCAUCGGGGUAUUGUUGUAAUUUUUUAGCGGUGGACUGGAGACUAAUUUGUUGAUCUUGGGUGCAGCAUUCCAUCUGUAAAUACUUGUUAUUUCUAAGGGAUUGCCUUCGUGUGCCCGUAUGGGGAUUGCUGCAAGGAUUAACUUUACAUCU
rnacentral:snoRNA from 1 species